GAGAGGUUAAGUAUCUUGCCUAAGGGCACACAGAAAAAUGGAGCCAGAGAGAAAUUUAUCCUGGAACUAGUAUUCAUGAAGGCCUUCCAGUUCAGACUCAAUACCAUUGCCAAGUCAGUGUGUUUGGAGAAAUAAGAAGCCAACACACUAGAAAAGUUGCAGGAGAUUCCUAGGGGUACCCACAAAGUUAACUCCUUGCCAGAAACCUGCUCCUCCAGAUGAAUCCAGCGCACUGGACUGGCUCAGAUGCACAGGUGGCACAGACCUCUACUGAAAAGAACAAUAGUGGAAGGCCGAUGAAACCCAGAUUUUGAAGUCUGAGAGCCACGUGGGGCUGCCCCAGUUACCUCUACCCCGGGUCAGUGACCAGAGAAUCCUUUAGCAGCAGGAGCAGGGAUGUUUAUUUCACUGGUAUGUAUAAAGCAACUGACUGAAAACAACCUGCAUGCCCAGCAACUUAGAACUGGUUAAAUGAUUUUUGGUUAAGCCACACAGUGGAAUAUCAUGUGGCUAUUAAGAAUAAGUCAAAAGUCCUAGACUUCCCAUAUUCAACAUUAGAUUUAAAAUAACUGAACAAACACCUUCACAAUUAGGCUUCCUCAGGUUGAAACGUAAAGCCAAGUCAACGUGUGUCAGAAUGUUAACAACAGCUAACUCUUGGUUGUGAUGUUCUGAGUAACUUCUGAGUAACUUAUAUUAUUUUUCAGGUUUUUUUUUCCACUACUAAUGUGCAAAUAUACACAUUUGUAAAGAUCAAUAACAUAAAUCUUUGCAUAGGCAGAUUGGAAGGAAAUCAGACAAAACCAUACCUUUGCGUAGUAGAAUUAUAAAUCAUUUUCUUCUUCUCUAGAGUUUCUGAAUUUUCUGCAUUUGAUAUGUUUAUCUUUAUAAAGGGUCCAUCAUAUUUAUGAUGAUUUUUUUUAAAGACAAGUAGACAGGGAAAGAGGGGUCUCCUGUUGCAAAACCAAAGCUGCAGGCUCUCCAAAGCCCACUUACGUCAGUUCAAUUGAUAUUGCAUGAACCUCUAAUGUGCAAUUCACUUUCCACUGAGGGGGAUGAGAAAUACAGAGAUGAAGGAGAUGCAAACACUUUAAACAAAGAAAUCACAGUCCAGUUAGGAAGAUAAGAUUCGGCAUUAUAUAAAUUACAAGGUCUUAUCCAAGAGGUUAGCCUGUCAAGAGUAACAGCAAUAAUUACCCAACAAUAUGUCAGAGUGUCUAGGAGGUCCAGCUUCAAAGCACUUCAUCUUCAUUCUUAAACUCAUCUCAAUUUCUUAACCAUAUGGGGCCCAAGCCUCAGCUACCUCUUCUGUAAAUGUAAACUACCUCUUAGGGUACCUUUUGAGAGGAUUAAAUGAAACUUGAGCAUGAAGGGGCUGAGCUAGGUGCUCUGGAAAUAGUCCUUCCUCAGCAUGAGAGACGUUACCAUCAUAUGGCUGUGGUGUUUGUGGCCACCUAUCUGCAAGUUAUGCUUUCACAGAUAUGGCAGAGCUGGGAUUUGAACCCACACUGAUCUAAUUCCAAAGCCAAUGAUUCUACCCCAACCAGACACUGCAUUUACUCUCUGAGCCUAACUGAAAUUUGUUCUAAACCUCACCCUAAGGUCUUGCCAGAAAGAAAAGCUAAUUUUUCAUUAAAAGAUCAAAGGAGAAAUGAA